GAGGCUAAGCACACUGACACAAUAUUUAACGUGGUUCGGCAAACUGCCUACAUCCACGGGAGAAGCCAUUUGAUUAUAUAGGGAGAGAACAAGGUUUACAACAAUAGAGGAGGAGGAAUUAUUCCCUCUUUAGCAACUCUCAACCUCACUCUAUUUCUCUCUUCUUGGUGCUGCAAUGGCAGCCCACUCUCUCCUAUAUUUCUCACAUCUUUGGCUCUA
rnacentral:lncRNA from 1 species